CAGCGCCGCGGUAAUACGGAGGGUGCAAGCGUUAAUCGGAAUUACUGGGCGUAAAGCGCACGCAGGCGGUCUGACAAGUCAGAUGUGAAAUCCCCGGGCUUAACCUGGGAACUGCAUUUGAAACUGUCAGGCUGGAGUCUUGUAGAGGGGGGUGGAAUUCCAGGUGUAGCGGUGAAAUGCGUAGAGAUCUGGAGGAAUACCGGUGGCGAAGGCGGCCCCCUGGACAAAGACUGACGCUCAGGUGCGAAAGCGUGGGGAGCAAACAGGAUUAGAUACCCCUGUAGUCCCUGUCUCUUAUACC
rnacentral:rRNA from 1 species